AUUGAACGCUGGCGGCAUGCCUUUCACAUGCAAGUCGAACGGCAGCACGGGUGCUUGCACCUGGUGGCGAGUGGCGAACGGGUGAGUAAUACAUCGGAACAUGUCCUGUAGUGGGGGAUAGCCCGGCGAAAGCCGGAUUAAUACCGCAUACGAUCUACGGAUGAAAGCGGGGGACCUUCGGGCCUCGCGCUAUAGGGUUGGCCGAUGGCUGAUUAGCUAGUUGGUGGGGUAAAGGCCUACCAAGGCGACGAUCAGUAGCUGGUCUGAGAGGACGACCAGCCACACUGGGACUGAGACACGGCCCAGACUCCUACGGGAGGCAGCAGUGGGGAAUUUUGGACAAAGGGCGAAAGCCUGAUCCAGCAAUGCCGCGUGUGUGAAGAAGGCCUUCGGGUUGUAAAGCACUUUUGUCCGGAAAGAAAUCCUUGGCCCUAAUACGGUCGGGGGAUGACGGUACCGGAAGAAUAAGCACCGGCUAACUACGUG
rnacentral:rRNA from 1 species